UGCGCAGGCGGCCUGAUAAGUCAGGGGUGAAAUAUGACGGCUCAACCGUCAAACUGCCCCUGAAACUGCCAGGCUUGAGUCCGGGAGAGGUAGGUGGAAUUCCAGGUGUAGUGGUGAAAUGCGUAAAUAUCUGGAGGAACACCGGUGGCGAAGGCGGCCUACUGGCCCGGAACUGACGCUCAGGCACGAAAGCUAGGGGAGCGAACAGGAUUAGAUACCCUGGUAGUCC
rnacentral:rRNA from 1 species